AACAACGGUGGCUGUUGCCUAACAGCUGUCUUAUUCAACAGAAAUGGAAACGUGGCGCCCGUAUCCUUGAGAAAACGACUUGGCCCUCCUAUGGAUGGAGGGUGUCUUGAAGAGAAACUGGACACAGUGGAUUGCCAUCCCUGGACAGUGGCCCUUCUCAGCGGAGGCUCUGUCUACCACCCAGAUUCUGCUGUUAGAUUUGCCCCUGGGGAUCCUGGCUGAGAAGCCGCUGUCUGGUGACCAUCGUCAUUAGAGAUACUGAUGUCACAGAACAGCUGUCACCAAAAGCUGCCCCACCCAGGCUGCACCGGUCAUUGUGAGUGGGUUGAUUCUGUUAAACUCGGCAUUCUGGAGGGCAGAUCUCCCCUCCCUGCCUCAGUCAUCCACCUGUAGACCUUCCUUCUGGAUUUUUCUUUUUUUUUUCUUUUGCAUGCCCACCUGUGUUCUCUGCUCUUGGAGGCAGGGUUGGUCUGUAUCUUUUUCCAGCUCUAUUGAGGUAUAAUUGAUAGAUGACAUUCUGUAAGUUUAAGGUGUGCAAAAUAGUGAUUUUAUACACAAAUAUAUUCCAGAGUGAUUACCACAAUAAAGUUAGUGAAGACAUUUAUCACCUCACACAGUUAUAACGUUGUGCGUGUGAUCAGAACUUUAAAAAUCUUAUUAGCAACUCAAUCUCUCGUAGCAACUUUCAAAUAUGCAGCACAGUAUUGUUAACUACAGUUAUCAUAGGAUUGGUCCGUAUUGUUAUUGAGAUGGGGAAAAAAAUCCAUAGACUUGGAUUCAAGAGAUCUACCUCUUGGACCAGCCCCGGGCCCUCUCUGGGUCUCCUGCCCCUUACUUGCACCUAAAAUUCUGUGAUUCUGGGACUCAGGAGAGCAAGGAGGCACGGACAAGAUAGCAUGAGUUUCUUCACUGGGAAAGGUUCAAUCUAAUAAGAAGAAGAAGGUAAAAAAUAACAGUCACCACCAUUUAUUUGAGUUUGCUCUGCUAGGCAUGCACUGUGUGCGUUGUGGAGGCAAUCCUACGAAAUCCUCAUGAUAAUCCGAGGAGGUGAGCCCCACUUUUAUUCUUCUCUCUCAGAUGAGGAAGCUGAGCCUCAGAGAUGUCAAGUAACUUGCCCAAGGUGACAGAGUUAAUAUGUUGGGACUCAGUCACAGAUGUCUCUCUGCCUUUGGGGUCCACCAUUUCCCUCCACUUUGGGGAAGCCCAGAGCUCAGAAGCAGUCGUGGGUUUGCCGCAGCUGUGCUGUUAGGGCCAACUGUCUUUUUCAAAUGUGCUUUCCUUUAUUUACACACCAACAUCAUUGCUAUUUAGGGUUUUCAGUGAACUUCCCUAUUUUCUCCCUAUUCUGUCUUAUUCAGCAAAAUGGAUGAGCGACCGUUUCUUAGGAUACUAAUUGAAUGUUCAUUUAGACAUGAAAGUGUUUGUCUCUCCACUUUUACUUCUCAAGCCAGAAGAAUGUUUCUCUCUUUUCGUGGGAGUCCAGAAACAAGUUAAAGUUUCAUUGAAAGUUUUAUGACCCGAAGGUUGCAAUGAGGUUCAAGUAACAGUAGAGAAAACUUGUGGACAGCCUGGGGAGAAUACGCCCCUCUUGUUAGUUGUUUUGAGCCAAUGUUCCAGAAGACUCUCCCCACCCACUCUGCUCCGAAUGCCUUUCGAAAUUCACAUGCUUUUCUCAUGUUAAGAUCCCCAUGCCCUCACACACCUCCUUUCCAUAUGCCAUUCACUGAGCCUAGAAUGCCAUCCCCUCCGUUGCCUGGAGAGCUCCUCACCCUUAAAGACUCAGGUCAGACGGCUCUUGUGUUACCAAUUCAUGCAAAAUGUUUUUUCUUGUUCACUUCUCUGUUCUGCACUUGAAUGUUAAGUGACGAAGGGCAGAGGCCUGGUCUCACUUACCUUUGGGGCCGCUCAGGAUCCGAGCUUACAUGUUGCGUGCCAUACAUGCUCAAUUAAGAUUUUGUAAUAAACCGAUUUCCCGUGUUAUGGGUCAAAGCCAAAACCUUAAAAAAAAUAAAUUAAAAAAAAAAAAAAGCCAAAACCUUGCUGUGCCCUUCGACCCAGUUAUCCCCAUGAUGGAGGAAUCCAUCCAAAGGAAAUAACCGAAGAGGAGAGAGGAAAUUACACGGACUGAAGUGCUGUGAAAUAUAUAUUUGCAAAAUACUGGCAACAAGCGGAAUGUUUAUCAACAGGACAAUGGUGAGCAAAGCGGGAGACGUGAUCUUGCUGCAACACGAUUCAUUCUAUCACCGACUGAACCAACAUGGUGACUCCCAAGGAUGUGUCAGAAAUACAGAGAUGAGUCAGUUGCCUUCGACCAGCGCACAGCCUGGCAGAGCCUUCUAAAGCAAACAGCACAAAACUACAUAGAAACCGAGAACCGUUUGGGGUCUGAUGUUAAGAGACAAAUAGA